rnacentral:misc_RNA from 1 species
GAGAGAGAACGCAAAAGUUUUCCGACGAUGUUUCUGCGAGCGAUCGGACGGCCAUUAUUGGCCAAAGUUAAGCAGACGACGGGGAUCGUUGGUCUGGAUGUUGUCCCCAACGCCCGAGAGGUCUUGAUCGGCCUUUACAGUAAAACCCUAAAGGAGAUCCAGGCCGUUCCCGAGGAUGAAGGAUACCGUAAGGCGGUCGAGAGCUUCACGCGCCACCGCUUGAAGGUCUGCCAGGAGGAAGAGGACUGGGAGAAAAUCGAACAGCGGCUUGGCUGUGGUCAGGUCGAGGAGCUAAUCGAGGAGGCUCAGGACGAGCUCAAACUCAUUGCUAAAAUGAUCGAAUGGGAUCCCUGGGGUAUUCCUGAUGACUACGAAUGUGAAGUGAUUGAGAAUGAUGCUCCG